GCGGUGUUGAAGUACUCGU
rnacentral:siRNA from 1 species